UACGGGGGGGGCAAGCGUUGUUCGGAAUUACUGGGCGUAAAGGGCUCGUAGGCGGCCAACUAAGUCAGACGUGAAAUCCCUCGGCUUAACCGGGGAACUGCGUCUGAUACUGGAUGGCUUGAGUUCGGGAGAGGGAUGCGGAAUUCCUGGUGUAGCGGUGAAAUGCGUAGAUAUUGGGAGGAACACCAGUGGCGAAGGCGGCUCACUGGACCGGUACUGACGCUGAUGCGCGAAAGCGUGGGGAGCAAACGGG
rnacentral:rRNA from 1 species